rnacentral:rRNA from 1 species
AAUCAACGCUGGCGGCGUGCCUAACACAUGCAAGUCGCGCGCGAAUAGGGGGCAACCCCUUAGUAGAGCGGCGAACGGGUGAGUAACACGUGGGUAAUCUACCUUCGAGUGGGGAACAACAUCGGGAAACUGGUGCUAAUUCCGCAUGACAUCGUCGGGGCUUCGGUCCUGACGAUCAAAGCCGGGGAUCGCAAGACCUGGCGCUUGAAGAUGAGCCCGCGUCCGAUAGCUAGUUGGCGGGGUAAUGGCCCACCAAGGCUUCGAUCGGUAGCCGGCCUGAGAGGGCGGACGGCCACACUGGAACUGAGACACGGUCCAGACUCCUACGGGAGGCAGCAGUGGGGAAUUUUUCGCAAUGGGGGCAACCCUGACGAAGCAACGCCGCGUGGGGGAUGAAGGCCUUAGGGUUGUAAAGCUCUUUUACCCGGGAAGAUAAUGACGAUACCGGGAGAAUAACGCCCCGGCUAACUUCGUGCCAG